AACGCACCUUGCACUCCUUGGUAUUCCGAGGAGCAUGCCUGUUUGAGUGUCAUGAAAUUCUCAACCUUUCUGGUUUUAUAAACUAGUUGGGCUUGGAUCAUGGAAGUUGCUGGCUCGGCUUGAAUCAGCUCUUCUUAAAUAUAUUAGCAAAGACUAUUGCUGGGCCAUCUUUGGUAUGAUAAUUAUCUAUAUCAUUGACAGCCAGUUCUCAUUUCUGAGAAGGCUUUGCUUAUAAUCGUCUUUCAGACAAUUUCAUAACUUUUGACCUCAAAUCAGGUAGGACUACCCGCUGAACUUAA
rnacentral:misc_RNA from 1 species